AGUGAACGCUGGCGGUAGGCCUAACACAUGCCAGUCGAACGGCAGCACAGUAAGAGCUUGCUCUUACGGGUGGCGAGUGGCGGACGGGUGAGGAAUACAUCGGAAUCUACUUUUUCGUGGGGGAUAACGUAGGGAAACUUACGCUAAUACCGCAUACGACCUACGGGUGAAAGCAGGGGAUCUUCGGACCUUGCGCGAUUGAAUGAGCCGAUGUCGGAUUAGCUAGUUGGCGGGGUAAAGGCCCACCAAGGCGACGAUCCGUAGCUGGUCUGAGAGGAUGAUCAGCCGCACUGGAACUGAGACACGGUCCAGACUCCUACGGGAGGCAGCAGUGGGGAAUAUUGGACAAUGGGCGCAAGCCUGAUCCAGCCAUACCGCGUGGGUGAAGAAGGCCUUCGGGUUGUAAAGCCCUUUUGUUGGGAAAGAAAAGUAGCAGGUUAAUACCCCGCUGUUCUGACGGUACCCAAAGAAUAAGCACCGGCUAACUUCGUG
rnacentral:rRNA from 1 species